GAUGAACGCUGGCGGCGUGCCUAAUACAUGCAAGUCGAGCGAACUGAUUAGAAGCUUGCUUCUAUGACGUUAGCGGCGGACGGGUGAGUAACACGCGGGCAACCUGCCUGUAAGACUGGGAUAACUUCGGGAAACCGAAGCUAAUACCGGAUAGGAUCUUCUCCUUCAUGGGAGAUGAUUGAAAGAUGGUUUCGGCUAUCACUUACAGAUGGGCCCGGGGUGCAUUAGCUAAUUGGUGAGGUAACGGCUCACCAAGGCAACGAUGCAUAGCCGACCUGAGAGGGUGAUCGGCCACACUGGGACUGAGACACGGCGCAGACUCCUACGGGAGGCAGCAGUAAGGAAUCUUCCGCAAUGGACGAAAGUCUGACGGAGCAACGCCGCGUGGGUGAAGAAAGCUUUCGGGGCGUAAAACUCUGUUGUUAGGGAAGAACAAGUACGAGAGUAACUGCUCGUACCUUGACGGUACCUAACCAGAAAGCCACGGCUAACUACGUGCCAGCAGCCGCCGUAAUAC
rnacentral:rRNA from 1 species